rnacentral:rRNA from 1 species
AUUGAACGCUAGCGGGAUGCCUUACACAUGCAAGUCGAACGGCAGCACGGACUUCGGUCUGGUGGCGAGUGGCGAACGGGUGAGUAAUGUAUCGGAACGUGCCCAGUAGCGGGGGAUAACUACGCGAAAGCGUAGCUAAUACCGCAUACGCCCUACGGGGGAAAGCAGGGGAUCGCAAGCCUUGCACUAUUGGAGCGGCCGAUAUCGGAUUAGCUAGUUGGUGGGGUAACGGCUCACCAAGGCGACGAUCCKAGCUGGUUUGAGAGGACGACCAGCCACACUGGGAYUGAGACACGGCCCGGACUCYUACGGGAGGCAGCAGUGGGGAAUUUUGGACAAUGGGGGGAACCCUGAUCCAGCCAUCCCGCGUGUGCGAUGAAGGCCUUCGGGUUGUAAAGCACUUUUGGCAGGAAAGAAACGUCGCGGGUUAAUACCCCGCGGAACUGACGGUACCUGCAGAAUAAGCACCGGCUAACUACGUGCCAGCAGCCGCGGUAAUACGUAGGGUGCAAGCGUUAAUCGGAAUUACUGGGCGUAAAGCGUGCGCAGGCGGUUCGGAAAGAAAGAUGUGAAAUCCCAGAGCUUAACUUUGGAACUGCAUUUUUAACUACCGGGCUAGAGUGUGUCAGAGGGAGGUGGAAUUCCGCGUGUAGCAGUGAAAUGCGUAGAUAUGCGGAGGAACACCGAUGGCGAAGGCAGCCUCCUGGGAUAACACUGACGCUCAUGCACGAAAGCGUGGGGAGCAAACAGGAUUAGAUACCCUGGUAGUCCACGCCCUAAACGAUGUCAACUAGCUGUUGGGGCCUUCGGGCCUUGGUAGCGCAGCUAACGCGUGAAGUUGACCGCCUGGGGAGUACGGUCGCAAGAUUAAAACUCAAAGGAAUUGACGGGGACCCGCACAAGCGGUGGAUGAUGUGGAUUAAUUCGAUGCAACGCGAAAAACCUUACCUACCCUUGACAUGUCUGGAAUCCUGAAGAGAUUUAGGAGUGCUCGCAAGAGAACCGGAACACAGGUGCUGCAUGGCUGUCGUCAGCUCGUGUCGUGAGAUGUUGGGUUAAGUCCCGCAACGAGCGCAACCCUUGUCAUUAGUUGCUACGAAAGGGCACUCUAAUGAGACUGCCGGUGACAAACCGGAGGAAGGUGGGGAUGACGUCAAGUCCUCAUGGCCCUUAUGGGUAGGGCUUCACACGUCAUACAAUGGUCGGGACAGAGGGUCGCCAACCCGCGAGGGGGAGCCAAUCCCAGAAACCCGAUCGUAGUCCGGAUCGCAGUCUGCAACUCGACUGCGUGAAGUCGGAAUCGCUAGUAAUCGCGGAUCAGCAUGUCGCGGUGAAUACGUUCCCGGGUCUUGUACACACCGCCCGUCACACCAUGGGAGUGGGUUUUACCAGAAGUAGUUAGCCUAACCGCAAGGAGGGCGAUUACCACGGUAGGAUUCAUGACUGGGGUGAAGUCGUAACAAGGUAGCCGUAUCGGAAGG